rnacentral:lncRNA from 1 species
AAGAUCCAUUAUGCAUCAAGUUGUUCCAAAAGGACUAUUAAAAAAAUGUUUAGUGUCUAAGUUACAAUAGGGUAUAUGAAAUUAAGAACGUAUCUUCAUCUAGAUAUCUUAAAACAUAUGGAAUAUGAAUAUUGAUUAUUUUAGAUGCUUCUACCUGGUUGAUGGCUGCAUCUUCUUCUUGCCCUACCUAGCCGAGUCUGAUACGACUACAUCAUCCUCUUCCUUUUGCCAACAUCACUGCCCUAUUGUCUGGCCAU